UCCUCGAUAGCUCAGUUGGUAGAGCAAUCGGCUGUUAACCGAUCGGUCGUAGGUUCGAGUCCUACUCGGGGAG
rfam:Veillonella montpellierensis DNF00314 contig16, whole genome shotgun sequence.